rnacentral:rRNA from 1 species
GUGCGCUAGCUAUAACAUGCAGUCGAGCGGACUUAAGGAGAAUCUUGCUUCUCUGAUGGUUAGCGGCGGACGGGUGACUAACGCGUAUGCAACCUGCCCUCAAGUUUGAUACCACUACCGAAGACGGUACCUAAUACCGAAUACUUGAUUUCUUCUCCUGAAGAAAACUGCAAAGACGGAGCAAUCUGUUACUUGGGGAUGGGCCUGCGGUGCAUUAGCUAGCUGCCGGGGUAACGACUCACCAAGGCGACGAUGCGAAGCCGACCUGAGAGGGUGAUCAGACACACUGCGACUGACACACGGACCAGACUCCUACGGAAGGCGGAAGUAGGGAAUCUUCCUGAACGAGCGAAAGCCUGACGGAGCAAUGCCGCGUGAGUGAUGAAGGCUUUCGGAUCGAAGAGCUCUGUUGCCAGGUAAGAACGCUUGGGAGAGUAACUGCUCUCAAAGAGACGGUACCUGAUAAGACAGCCCCGGCUAACUACGUGCCACCAACCGCGCAAUACGUAUCGGACAGCGGGUCCGGAAUUAUUGUACGUGAGCGCGCGCAGGCGUGCAUUUAGUCUGGCGUAAAUCCCAAUGCUCACCACGGAGCUACUGAAACUGGGUGACUUGAGUGAGAAGACAGAGUGAAUUCCAAUGUAACGGAGAAAUGCGAAUUAUGUGGAGAACACCAGCGCUAAGGA